UUAAAACUUUUAACAACGAUCUCUUGGUUCUCAUCGAUGAAGAACGCACGAAAUCAUAAGUAAUGAAUCAGAAUUCAGUAAUCAUCGAAUCUUUGAACGCACAUUCCCGCCAGCAUUCUGGCGCAUGCCUGUUCGAGCGUCAUUUCAACCCUCAAGCCCAGCUUGUGUUGGCCCUACGGUCGACGUAGCCCUUAAAGGAGUGCGACCUCCCGAGCCUCCUUUGCUAGUAACUUAACGUCUCGCACUGGAUCCGGAGGACUCUUCUAAAACCCCCAAACUUUACAGUUGACCUCGAUCAGUAGGAAUACCGCUGAACUAAGCAUAUCAAUAAGCGGAGAAAAAAACCAACAGGAUUCCCCAUAACGCGAUGAAGCGGCAACAGCUCAAAUUUGAAUCUGCCCAGGCCCGAGUUAAUUUGCAGAGAUGCUUUUGCGCGGCCUUCGAGUUCCCUGGAACGGACGCCAUAGGUGAGCCCUACGUGACACCAAGCCUUUGUAAAGCUCUUCGACGAGUCGAGUAGUUGAAUGCUCCAAAAGGGAGUAUAUUUCUUCUAAGCUAAAUAUAGCCAGAACCGAUACGCACAAGUUAGAUGAUCGAAAGAUAAAGCACUUUGAAAAGAGUUAAAGCACAGUGAAAUGUAAAAGGAAGCGCUUGUGACCAGACUUGCGUCCGGUGAAUCACCCAGCUCUCCGGCGGGCACUUCGCCGGCAAGCCAGCAUCAGCUUGCCGUCGGACAAAAGCUUCAGAACGUAGCUCUCUUCGGGAGUUUAGCCUUUGCAUAAUACCCUUCCGCUGAGUACGGCUCCGCAAGAUGCUGCUAAUGGUCAUCAGCACCCGUCUUGAAACACGACCAAAGUCAACCUUAUGUGCGAGUGUGGGUUAAACCCCUACGCGUAAGAAAUGAACGCAGGUGAGAGCUCGGCGCAUCAUCGACGAUCCUGAUGUUCUCGGAUGGAUUUGAUAAAGCAUAUAGGUUGACCCAAAAUAGAACUAUCGUGUGUAGGUGAAGCCAGAGAAACUCGUGGAGGCUCGCCACGGUUCUGACGUGCAAAUCGAUCGUCAAACAUGCGCAGGGCGAAGACUAAUCGAACCUUCUAGUAGCUGUUUCCCCGAAGUUCCCUCAGAUACAGUUGAACUCAUUUUAUGAGUUAAAGCGAAUGAUUAGGACUCGGGGCGCUAUAUUCCUUCAUCCAUUCUCAAACUUUAAAUAUAAGAAGCCCUUGUUGCUUAAUUGAACGCAUUAAUGUAUCAACACUAUGGGCCAUUUUGUAAGCAAACUGGCGAUCGGAUGAACGAACGCGAGUUAAGGCCAGAGUAGUCGCUCAUCAGACACCACAAAAGUUGAGUACAUCUUGACAGCAGGACGGUGCCAUGAGAUCGGAAUCCCUAAGACUGUGUAACAACUCACCUGCCGAAUUACUAGCCCUAAAAUGGAUGCGCUCAAGCACUCACCCAUACCUCCCCUCAUGUAGAAACGAUGCGCUGAGGAGUAGGCGGACUGGAGUCAUGACAAGCCUUAGGCUGAGCCGGUAGAACCCCUAGCAAUCUUGUGUAGUAGCAAAUACUCAAUGAGAACUUAAGACCAAGGGAAAGGUUCCAUGUGAACAGCGUUGGACAUGGUUAGUCAUCCUAACCAUAAGUUCCUUUCAAAGGCACUUGUGCCCCGUAUGCGAAAGGAACCGUCAAUAUUCCGCACCUGAUGUGGGUUUUGCCGGCAACGCAACUGAACGCGAGACGAGCGGCCCCGGCAGUUCUCUUUUCUCUUAACAGUCUAUCACCCUGAAAUCGGUUUGUCCGACUAGGGUUUAACCUGGAAGCCCAGCACUUCUGUUGCGUGCGCCUCGACGUCCCUUGAAAAUCCCGGAAGAUAAUUUCACGCCAGUCUACUCAUAACCGCAGCAGGUCUCCAAGGAACACCUCUGGUUGAUAAACAAUGUAAUAAGGAAGUCGCAAACAAUCCAACUUCGGAUAAGGAUUGCUCUAAUGGGUACUUGCUUUAGGCGGACCUCGGAGCAGUCCCACUAGCCGGCAACCGCCGAGGCCCAGCAUCUGGUUGACGCUUUAGCAGCUUCGGCCGUCCGGCGUACGUUAACAACCAACUUAAACUGACACAAGGGAAUCUGACUGUCUAAUUAAAACUAGCAUUGCGAUGGCCAGAAAGUGGUGUGACGCAAUGUAUUUCUGCCCAGUGCUCUGAAUGUCAAAUGAAGUAAUUCAACCAAGCGCGGGAAACCGGCGAGUAACUAUGACUCUCUUAAGUAGCCAAAUGCCUCGUCAUCUAAUUAGUGACGCGAUGAAUGGAUCAACGAGAUCCCACUGUCCCUAUCUACUAUCUAGCGAAACCACAGCCAAGGAACGGGCUUGGCAGAAUCAGCGGAAAGAAGACCCUUGAGCUGACUCUAGUUACAUUGUGAAAAACAUAGAGUGUAAAUAGUGGAGCUUCGGCCCGGUAAAUACCACUACUCCUAUUGUUUUUUUACUUAUUCAAUGAAGCGGCUGGAUUUACGUCCAACUUCUGGUUUUAAGGUCCUUCGCGGCCGACCCGGGUUGAAGACAUUUCAGUGGGAGUUUGGCUGGGGGCACAUCUGUUAAACCAUAACGCAGGUGUCCUAAGGGGCUCAUGGAGAACAGAAAUCUCCAGUAGAACAAAAGGGUAAAAGUCCCUUGAUUUUAUUUCAGUGUAAUACAAACCAUGAAAGUGUGCCUAUCGAUCCUUUAGUCCCUCGAAAUUUGAGGCUAGAGUGCCAAAAAUUACCACAGGAUAACGGCUUGUGGCGGCCAAGCGUUCAUAGCGACGUCGCUUUUGAUCCUUCGAUGUCGGCUCUUCCUAUCAUACCGAAGCAGAAUUCGGUAAGCGUUGGAUUGUUCACCCACUAAUAGGAACGUGAGCUGGGUUUAGACCGUCGUGAGACAGGUUAGUUUACCCUACUGAUGACCUCGUCGCAAUGGUAAUGAGCUUAGUACGAGAGGAACCGCUCAUUCAAUAAUUGGUUUUUCGGCUGUCCGACCGGGCAGUGCCGCGACGCUACCAUCUGCUGGAUAAUGGCUGAACGCCUCUAAGUCAGAAUCCAUGCCAGAACGCGACGAUACCUCCCGCACGUACAGAGGACACGAAUAGGCUUCGGCUUAGUCUUAGCAGGCGAUUACUCCACUGCUCUCGAAGCGAGUAGUGGUAUUCGCGAAUUGUAAUUUCAGCACGACGGGUUAAAUCCUUUGCAGACGACUUAGAUGUGCGAAAGGUCCUGUAAGCAGUAGAGUAGCCUUGUUGUUACGAUCUGCUGAGGGUAACCCUCCUU
rnacentral:rRNA from 1 species